GUGAGUAGAAUAUACAGGUGGGCUUAUCCCAAGGUGUAUGAAUUUAGAAGGCGGAUUUUUAUCGCUGCUUUUUCUGAAUUAAGUUUUUUAGAGUGUUUUGUGUAUUCGUCAAGCCUCCAGGAAGCUUGUUUGAACGCACAUUUUCACCCAUCCUGUCAAAAAGUGAUAUUCAAAUUUGGUUAUAAAAACAUGCUAUGAGACCACCUGGACUACAUACACUUUGAUUGUGCAUUCCAUCACCUGAUCUCUUUAAUUCACCUUGGGUUAAAUGUAAACACGAUCUUGUUUUGCCAUUUUUCGAGCAGGUACUCGAAUCUAAUUCUAGCUUUGAGGCUAGAAUAAUCUAGACUGAAAAUCGCAGGCUAGUUUUUUGUGUGGUUUUGUAUGGAGUGUUUUCAUGAUUUCAGCCUCCAACUGUCAAACUCCAUACAAAAAGCUGACUAGAAUCGUGAAGGGCCCCAUCAUCAGCUGGGCCGCUAAAGCUAUCAGCUAGGCCGCUAAAGCUUGCAGCUAGGCCGUUAAAGCUAUCAUCAUCAUCAGUUGCACCGCAAACACCACCAUCAUCCUCAACAGGGCCUCUAAAGCUAUCAACUAGACCAUCAAAACCUCCAUCAUCAUCAACUGCACCGCCCCAACUAUGAUCAUCUUCAGCUGGACCGUCAAAAUCACCGUCGUCAUCAGCUUCAGCCACGUGUCGAGCUGCACCUUCUACUGUUCCAGGAUUUACCGUGGUUGACCUAGAGGCAGCACCGACUUUGGAGCCAGCGUCAUUACCAGAAAGGUCGAUCAGCUACAGUCAUCCGUGGACAAGUUGGAAAAGCGGUUAACUCGGCAAGACAAAGAUAUCGCACUGCUCCAGGUGACUUUGGAUGACGUCAAAAACAGCGUGUGCGGACGCCCGAGGACAACAGAUGACGAAAAUUUCCAAUUCAACAUGUUAGACACCGUAGAAGAAGCAGAAACAUCCUCUACGAGAGCGAAGAAAGAUGGUGAAGUUUUUCCAAGCAUUGUGUAGCAACCGGUAUGUGUCCGUGAACGAGGCAUUGGCGGCUAAAUUUUUUAAAGACAAAUUCGAUAUGCCCAGAGUCGUCUCAAUCAGGAAGGCUUGCGCCGAAGUGGACCGCGCAACAGAGAGUUUUUUGAACACGAAUAACAUAACUUUUAAAUUUUGAACUUAAACACGUCAUAAAGGAAAAUGACGAGAGAGUUCAAUGAUCCUUUGUGUAUCAAAACAUUGUUUAACAGUCUAGUCAGGUCGAUUUUAGAAUAUGGAUCAAUUGUGUGGUGUCCUCAUACCGACCGCUGGAUCAAACGCAUUGAAAGUGUACAAAGGAAAAUGACUCGUUUCGCGAUUAAAAAGCUUAGAUGGCCAAAUGGUGACACGCUACCCUAUAGGACAAGAUGGUUAUUGUUAGGUGAAGAAUCAUUAGAGAAGCGGCGUGAAAAGGCUAAAACAAUCUUUAUGGCCAAACUGAUAAAAGGAGAAAUUGACGCACCUCGCUUAUUAAGCAAAGUGAACAUACACGUUCCUCGCUCUAGUCCUCGUUCAUCGUCCCUUUUGUAUGUAGAUAGGCAUAACACUAAUUAUGCGGCAAAUGAACCGAUAUCAGCAAUGGCACGCAGUUUUAAUUCAUUCUAUGCAGGAGUUGAUUUUCACACAUCUAUGUCCACUAUUAGUGAAGGUCUGCGCUACAUUAAUCUAUAAUAACUUACGAUAUCUGGUGGGGCCAUCAUUGGCGGACAAGAAUUAUAAAAUAAAUAAAUAAAUAAAUUAAUGAAAUACAA